rnacentral:rRNA from 1 species
GAUGAACGCUGGCGGCGUGCCUAAUACAUGCAAGUCGAGCGAACAGACGAGGAGCUUGCUCCUCUGACGUUAGCGGCGGACGUGUGAGUAACACGUGGAUAACCUACCUAUAAGACUGGGAUAACUUCGGGAAACCGGAGCUAAUACCGGAUAAUAUAUUGAACCGCAUGGUGCAAUAGUGAAAGACGGUUUUGCUGUCACUUAUAGAUGGAUCCGCGCCGCAUUAGCUAGUUGGUAAGGUAACGGCUUACCAAGGCAACGAUGCGUAGCCGACCUGAGCGGGUGAUCGCCCACCCUGGAACUGAGCCACCGUCCAUACUCCUACGGGAGGCAGCAGUAGCCAAUCUUCCGCAAUGGGCGAAAGCUUGACGGAGCAACGCCGCGUGAGUGAUGAAGGUCUUCGGAUCGUAAAACUCUGUUAUUAGUGAAGAACAAAUGUGUAAGUAACCAUGCACGUCUUGACGGUACCUAAUCAGAAAGCCACGGCUAACUACGUG